CGCAGCUAAACGACAGCACGUCCUCCUUCACCGGCCCCGGAUCCGGCAAUGGCAGAUCCAUCGUGCCUUCUUGUCCGGCUCUCUGAUUGCCAUCCACUUCUUCUGAGACGCAACACAAAUCUCAGCAUUUCAAUAACAAAUGAAUGUGAGAAAGAAGAUUCUUGUGGUCUCACGGUCGUACAGUUUCCGAUAAGCCAUCUCCAUUAGAAAUGAGUUAAUUUGCUAGGCUCAAUCUAUGAGGAUACUGUAAGCAUCCGAAGUGUGGUAAUGGACAAAAUGGGAAGAAGAAGAAGACAAAAGAUUGGUCA